CCUAAAUUUGACUUAAGUGUUGACUUACUCUAAAGAUAUUCCAGAGGAAGAGAAAAUGUGGAGUUUGUUUCACAAAGGUUUUGUAUCCUCUUCCCCUUUUGAGCGUAGGUGCAUUUCUUCACUUCCCUCAGUGCUAAGGCAGAUCAGCUUAUCUGUGAGCUAAUGCCAGGAAACUUGGACAGGAUCCUAAUCAGAGGAGCAGGAUGUUUAAUCUUGAGCACUGUGUUUACAGAAGAUUUGAUGGUGUAUGCCCUUAUUACCUACUCUAAUUUUAAUGAGCCUUUUGUUUUGGUUUUGUUUUUUCUUUCCUUUUUUUUUUUUUUUUUUUAAGGUUUCCACCCUGGAACUGUCUUCUAAGGCAAACUAUAACCAAUGGAAGAAAAACUUGUUUUUUCAACAUUUUGGGCUUCUGAUGAACAGAGCAAGAGUCUUCCCCAAGGAGCAUCUUCAGCAGAAACCAAAUAGUUGGCUGGAUUAACUGGCUCUCAUUCAGAGGGAACUUGGCAGAUCUAUUUUGCUUUUGUUGAACCUCUCUACAGCACGUCAUAAAGAUUUCCUAGGUCCAGAAGGUGCAGAAGAGACAACUGAGCAGCAGAAAAAUGUGACUCUGAGAAGAGACUUCAAGCCUUCUGAUGAUGAAUUUUCUACUAAUCAGUUCUAAUUUAAGUGUAUAACUGAAGCAUGCAUAAAAGUUAACCUGAUAGGGAAAAACACCUUCUCAUUAAUUAGAACUGCAAAAAAAAAAAAAAAAAAAAAAAAAAAAAAACCCCCCCCCCCCCCCCCCCCCCCCCCCCCCCCCCCCCCCCCCCCCCCCCCCCCC
rnacentral:lncRNA from 12 species